rnacentral:rRNA from 1 species
GUGGGGAAUAUUGGACAAUGGGCGAAAGCCUGAUCCAGCCAUGCCGCGUGUGUGAAGAAGGUCUUCGGAUUGUAAAGCACUUUAAGUUGGGAGGAAGGGCAGUAAGUUAAUACCUUGCUGUUUUGACGUUACCGACAGAAUAAGCACCGGCUAACUUCGUGCCAGCAGCCGCGGUAAUACGAAGGGUGCAAGCGUUAAUCGGAAUUACUGGGCGUAAAGCGCGCGUAGGUGGUUUUGUAAGUGGGAGGUGAAAUCCCCGGGCUCAACCUGGGAACUGCCUCCAAAACUGCAGGACUAGAGUACGGUAGAGGGUAGUGGAAUUUCCUGUGUAGCGGUGAAAUGCGUAGAUAUAGGAAGGAACACCAGUGGCGAAGGCGACUACCUGGACUGAUACUGACACUGAGGUGCGAAAGCGUGGGGAGCAAACAGGAUUAGAUACCCCUGUAGUCC